rnacentral:rRNA from 1 species
AUUGAACGCUGGCGGCAUGCCUUACACAUGCAAGUCGAACGGCAGCACGGGAGCAAUCCUGGUGGCGAGUGGCGAACGGGUGAGUAAUAUAUCGGAACGUGCCCAGUCGUGGGGAUAACGUAGCGAAGCUACGCUAAUACCGCAUACGAUCUACGGAUGAAAGCGGGGGAUCGCAAGACCUCGCGCGAUUGGAGCGGCCGAUAUCAGAUUAGGUAGUUGGUGAGGUAAAGGCUCACCAAGCCGACGAUCUGUAGCUGGUCUGAGAGGACGACCAGCCACACUGGGACUGAGACACGGCCCAGACUCCUACGGAGCAGCAGUGGGAAUUUGGGACAAUGGGCGCAAGCCUGAUCCA